GGAAAGGAUACGCCUGACAGAGUGGGAGAGACCGGAUCUAACCGAGGCACAGAACCACAGCCUUUGGGGGAUGAUGCUCCUCGUACCCAGACCGGUGCCUUGUUAACACGCUACAAAAUAUGCUACCUCUAACCACUCUUAUCAGAAGAAAAUCCAGUGGGUAAAUGGUGCAGUGAUUCUGAAUUUAGUGUCGCUUCCUGUGGUCCUGUUUGCUCAAGUGAUAAUGACACAGACAACAGUUAGAAGUAUAACGGUCACUACGUCCAGGCUCGCACACCUCACUUUUGGUCUCCUGUACACCUGCAGCUACAACUUCUGUUCCUUGACCAGGUAAACUGCUUCAGUCUCCAGUAUCUUUUGUAGUAGGUUCUUGUUCUUUUUUUAUCAGGCAUGCUGUUUCCUCUG